GAGGGAGGCCAGCACAAGAGCUCUGCCAUAAAAGGACAUUGGACAGAAGUGAAGAGUCCAAUCAGAAACUCUUUUUGAGAGACUGAACGCAAAGCAUUCAGAGAGUCAGCAGGCUGGAGAGGCCAAGACACACACACGAAGAAGGCAGGACACUCUUCUCCUCCUGCGGUUGGACUCCAGGCUCUAUGACCUUCAAACUCCAGGACUUACACCAGUUGCCCCUGGGCACUCAGGACUUCUGCUUCAGACUGACAGUUGCAGGACAGUGCAGCAUUUUAUUUUAAAGAUACCCCACAACGUAGGUGGCCAGUCCUGCUGCAGAUUGAGAGCUGUACUAGCCUGGCAUGCAGACAGCAGCUUUAGAAUCAGAUCUGCCUUCUGGCGGCUUCCCACCUAGGAGCCAUGGGACCUUUGUGAAGUCACCAAUUGUGCUGUGGAUGCUUCAUUUGUGAAGGAGAACAGGACUGCCUUGUAAGUUGC
rnacentral:lncRNA from 10 species